ensembl:snoRNA SNORD115 Small nucleolar RNA SNORD115
GGGUUGAUGAUGAGAACUGAUCUUGUUGAAGACAGAUGAUGACAUAAAAAUCAUGCUCAAUAGGAUUACGCUGAGGCCC